rnacentral:rRNA from 1 species
ACGGGAGGCAGCAGUGGGGAAUCUUGCACAAUGGGCGAAAGCCUGAUGCAGCAACGCCGCGUGCGGGAAGAAGGCCCUAGGGUUGUAAACCGCUUUCAGCAGGGAAGAAAAUGACGGUACCUGUAGAAGAAGGUGCGGCCAACUACGUGCCAGCAGCCGCGGUGACACGUAGGCACCAAGCGUUGUCCGGAUUUAUUGGGCGUAAAGAGCUCGUAGGCGGUUCGGUAAGUCGGGUGUGAAAACUCUGGGCUCAACCCAGAGCCGCCACCCGAUACUGCUGUGACUCGAGUGCGGUAGGGGAGCGGGGAAUUCCUGGUGUAGCGGUGAAAUGCGCAGAUAUCAGGAGGAACACCAGUGGCGAAGGCGCCGCUCUGGGCCGUGACUGACGCUGAGGAGCGAAAGCGUGGGUAGCAAACAGGAUUAGAUACCCUGGUA